rnacentral:rRNA from 1 species
UACGUAGGCAGCGAGCGUUGUUCGGAGUUACUGGGCGUAAAGGGUGCGUAGGCGGUUGUUUAAGUUUGGUGUGAAAUCUCCCGGCUCAACUGGGAGGGUGCGCCGAAUACUGAAUGACUAGAGUGCGGGAGAGGAGAGUGGAAUUCCUGGUGUAGCGGUGAAAUGCGUAGAUAUCAGGAGGAACACCGGUGGCGAAGGCGGGUCUCUGGGCCGUAACUGACGCUGAGGAGCGAAAGCGUGGGGAGCGAACAGG